GACGAACGCUGGCGGCGUGCUUAACACAUGCAAGUCGAACGGAAAGGCCCCUUCGGGGGUACUCGAGUGGCGAACGGGUGAGUAACACGUGAGUAACCUGCCCUUGACUUCGGGAUAACUUCAGGAAACUGGGGCUAAUACCGGAUAGGAAUCCUUGCUGCAUGGUGGGGGUUGGAAAGCUUCGGCGGGUUUGGAUGGACUCGCGGCCUAUCAGCUUGUUGGUGGGGUAGUGGCUUACCAAGGCUUUGACGGGUAGCCGGCCUGAGAGGGCGACCGGCCACAUUGGGACUGAGAUACGGCCCAGACUCCUACGGGAGGCAGCAGUGGGGAAUAUUGCACAAUGGGCGGGAGCCUGAUGCAGCAACGCCGCGUGCGGGAUGACGGCCUUCGGGUUGUAAACCGCUUUCAGCAGGGGCGAAGCUUGUGGUGACGGUACCUGCAGAAGAAGCACCGGCUAACUACGUG
rnacentral:rRNA from 1 species